ACCUCUGCAAUAGGCGAAAGCUUGACAGGGUUACUCUGAGUGAUUUCCGCUAAGGAGAUCUUUUGACACCUCUAAAAAUGGUGUAGAAUAAGGGGUGGGCAAGUCUGGUGUCAGCCGCCGCGGUAAUACCAGCACCCCGAGUGGUCGGGACGAUUAUUGGGCCUAAAGCAUCCGUAGCCGGUCCUACAAGUCUUCCGUUAAAUCCACCUGCUCAACAGAUGGGCUGCGGAAGAUACUAUAGGGCUAGGAGGCGGGAGAGGCAAGCGGUACUCAGUGGGUAGGGGUAAAAUCCUCUGAUCCAUUGAAGACCACCAGUGGCGAAGGCGGCUUGCCAGAACGCGCUCGACGGUGAGGGAUGAAAGCUGGGGGAGCAAACCGGAUUAGAUACCCGGGUAGUCCCAGCUGUAAACGAUGCAGACUCGGUGAUGGGUUGGCCUUGUGCCAACCCAGUGCCGCAGGGAAGCCGUUAAGUCUGCCGCCUGGGGAGUACGGUCGCAAGACUGAAACUUAA
rnacentral:rRNA from 1 species